AUCGCUUCUCGGCCUUUUGGCUAAGAUCAAGUGUAGUAUCUGAACACUGUGUACACAUUCAAGACUUGGUGGUGGUGGGUCUCCUUCGCCAUAAAGCAAAGCACUCUUU
rnacentral:snRNA from 2 species